UAAUACUAUUUUAAAAUGGGGAAAGCUUCUACAAGCACCUUGGUCAGUUCCAGGUGUAGAAGUUACAUAGUAGAUCAGAACCACAACUUUUAACUUCAACAAGUAGUACCAAAACAAGCAUCUACAUUGUAUAAAAUAACAACACAACACUAGCAUACUUGAAAGGUGUUUAUACCACACUACUAACAAAUCACAACACAGACUUACUUGCAGCACUGAGGAAUAACUUCUUCUCAGUAAAGUCACAACUUGAAGCAGUUUUUCUUAUGAAAAACAAAACAAAACAAAAAACACAGAAGUUUUCUUCAACAAAACACCACUAGCAUUCUGUUAUCUCAAUACCAGUGAGGCACAGCAGGAGAUACUUAGGCCAUAUGUUGUACGGCUGCUCUGUGUUAUUAUCUGCCUCACCUGGUAAGGGUGAGGUAAAACUAUUUCCCUCCUUUUCCACUGUUCAAAAGAGCUUAACAAAGUCUGAGGAAAAUGCCUUGACUCUCCUUAUCCUGUAAUGGGGGAUGCACCCUGCCAUCAUGUUAUCUCACUGUGCUCUGCAGUGGAAGUUUCCAGAAAGCACUGAGCAGGGCAGGGCUGUGCUGCUAGGCCUAGGUGAAAUGGCGGCGUUUCCACAACCUGCACAGGCUGUGAGGAGCACUUCAGUCUGUGACACCACAGGAAAGCUCACUGUGAAGGAGAAUACCACCUUGCUUUGCUGCUUUGUCGCUGCUAAUGAAGCCCCAGAGACUAAGCAUGUUUUGACAAUGUGGAAAUGGCUGGGCUUGGAGAUGAGAAAAGGAAAAGAAAGAAAGAAAGAAAGAAAAGGCUUUCACAUAGAAUAAAGAUUAAAACAAACAAUUAUAUACUUCAUGAAAUGUUUUAUUCAUAACCAGUGUUAUUACAAAAGAAAACCUCUAUGUUACAUUUGAAAAGUUAUCUAGAGAACGUU
rnacentral:lncRNA from 1 species